GAUUAAGUUAUUAAGGGCGCACGGUGGAUGCCUUGGCACUAGAAGCCGACGAAGGACGUUACUAACGACGAUAUGCUUUGGGUAGCUGUAAGUAAGCGUUGAUCCAGAGAUUUCCGAAUGGGGGAACCCAGCACGAGUUAUGUCGUGUUAUCGACAAGUGAAUUCAUAGCUUGUCAGAAGGCAGACCCGGAGAACUGAAACAUCUUAGUACCCGGAGGAAGAGAAAGAAAAAUCGAUUCCCUGAGUAGCGGCGAGCGAAACGGGAAGAGCCCAAACCAAUAAGCUUGCUUAUUGGGGUUGUAGGACACUCUAUACGGAGUUACAAAGGAAUAUAUUAGACGAAUCAUCUGGAAAGUUGAAUCAAAGAAGGUAAUAAUCCUGUAGUUGAAAAUAUAUUCUCUCUUGAGUGGAUCCUGAGUACGACGGAGCACGUGAAAUUCCGUCGGAAUCUGGGAGGACCAUCUCCUAAGGCUAAAUACUCUCUAGUGACCGAUAGUGAACCAGUACCGUGAGGGAAAGGUGAAAAGUACCCCGGAAGGGGAGUGAAAGAGAACUUGAAACCGUGUGCUUACAAGUAGUCAGAGCCCGUUAAUGGGUGAUGGCGUGCCUUUUGUAGAAUGAACCGGCGAGUUACGAUCUGAUGCAAGGUUAAGCAGGAGAUGUGGAGCCGUAGCGAAAGCGAGUCUGAAUAGGGCGUUGAGUAUUUGGUCGUAGACCCGAAACCAGGUGAUCUACCCAUGGUCAGGUUGAAGUUCAGGUAACACUGAAUGGAGGACCGAACCGACUUACGUUGAAAAGUGAGCGGAUGAACUGUGGGUAGCGGAGAAAUUCCAAUCGAACUUGGAGAUAGCUGGUUCUCUCCGAAAUAGCUUUAGGGCUAGCCUCAAGUGAUGAUUAUUGGAGGUAGAGCACUGUUUGGACGAGGGGCCCCUCUCGGGUUACCGAAUUCAGACAAACUCCGAAUGCCAAUUAAUUUAACUUGGGAGUCAGAACAUGGGUGAUAAGGUCCGUGUUCGAAAGGGAAACAGCCCAGACCACCAGCUAAGGUCCCAAAAUAUAUGUUAAGUGGAAAAGGAUGUGGCGUUGCCCAGACAACUAGGAUGUUGGCUUAGAAGCAGCCAUCAUUUAAAGAGUGCGUAAUAGCUCACUAGUCGAGUGACACUGCGCCGAAAAUGUACCGGGGCUAAACAUAUUACCGAAGCUGUGGAUUGUCCGUAGGACAAUGGUAGGAGAGCGUUCUAAGGGCGUUGAAGCAUGAUCGCAAGGACAUGUGGAGCGCUUAGAAGUGAGAAUGCCGGUGUGAGUAGCGAAAGACGGGUGAGAAUCCCGUCCACCGAUUGACUAAGGUUUCCAGAGGAAGGCUCGUCCGCUCUGGGUUAGUCGGGUCCUAAGCUGAGGCCGACAGGCGUAGGCGAUGGAUAACAGGUUGAUAUUCCUGUACCACCUAGCAUCGUUUUAAUCGAUGGGGGGACGCAGUAGGAUAGGCGAAGCGUACGAUUGGAUUGUACGUCNNNNNNNNNNNNNNNNNNNNNNNNNNNNNNNNNNNNNNNNNNNNNNNNNNNNNNNNNNNNNNNNNNNNNNNNNNNNNNNNNNNNNNNNNNNNNNNNNNNGGUUAGCUUCUGCGAAGCUACGAAUCGAAGCCCCAGUAAACGGCGGCCGUAACUAUAACGGUCCUAAGGUAGCGAAAUUCCUUGUCGGGUAAGUUCCGACCCGCACGAAAGGCGUAACGAUUUGGGCACUGUCUCAACGAGAGACUCGGUGAAAUCAUAGUACCUGUGAAGAUGCAGGUUACCCGCGACAGGACGGAAAGACCCCGUGGAGCUUUACUGUAGCCUGAUAUUGAAAUUCGGCACAGCUUGUACAGGAUAGGUAGGAGCCUUUGAAACGUGAGCGCUAGCUUACGUGGAGGCGCUGGUGGGAUACUACCCUAGCUGUGUUGGCUUUCUAACCCGCACCACUUAUCGUGGUGGGAGACAGUGUCAGGCGGGCAGUUUGACUGGGGCGGUCGCCUCCUAAAAGGUAACGGAGGCGCUCAAAGGUUCCCUCAGAAUGGUUGGAAAUCAUUCAUAGAGUGUAAAGGCAUAAGGGAGCUUGACUGCGAGACCUACAAGUCGAGCAGGGUCGAAAGACGGACUUAGUGAUCCGGUGGUUCCGCAUGGAAGGGCCAUCGCUCAACGGAUAAAAGCUACCCCGGGGAUAACAGGCUUAUCUCCCCCAAGAGUUCACAUCGACGGGGAGGUUUGGCACCUCGAUGUCGGCUCAUCGCAUCCUGGGGCUGUAGUCGGUCCCAAGGGUUGGGCUGUUCGCCCAUUAAAGCGGUACGCGAGCUGGGUUCAGAACGUCGUGAGACAGUUCGGUCCCUAUCCGUCGUGGGCGUAGGAAAUUUGAGAGGAGCUGUCCUUAGUACGAGAGGACCGGGAUGGACAUACCUCUGGUGUACCAGUUGUCGUGCCAACGGCAUAGCUGGGUAGCUAUGUAUGGACGGGAUAAGUGCUGAAAGCAUCUAAGCAUGAAGCCCCCCUCAAGAUGAGAUUUCCCAACUUCGGUUAUAAGAUCCCUCAAAGAUGAUGAGGUUAAUAGGUUCGAGGUGGAAGCGUGGUGACACGUGGAGCUGACGAAUACUAAUCGAUCGAAGACUUAAUCAA
rnacentral:rRNA from 1 species